rnacentral:rRNA from 1 species
UACCAGCACCCCGAGUGGUCGGGACGUUAUUGGGCCUAAAGCAUCCGUAGCCGGUUCUACAAGUCUUCCGUUAAAUCCAGCUGCUUAACAGAUGGGCUGCGGAAGAUACUAUGGAGCUAGGAGGCGGGAGAGGCAAGCGGUACUCGAUGGGUAGGGGUAAAAUCCGUUGAUCCAUUGAAGACCACCAGUGGCGAAGGCGGCUUGCCAGAACGCGCUCGACGGUGAGGGAUGAAAGCUGGGGGAGCAAACCGGG